UACAGAGGCCUCAACCGUUGUUCGGAAUCACUGGGCGUAAAGGGUGCGUAGGCGGCUAGGUAAGUCAGAUGUGAAAUCCCGGGGCUCAACCUCGGAAUUGCAUCCGAUACUGCCUGGCUAGAGGACUGGAGAGGAGUCUGGAAUUCACGGUGUAGCAGUGAAAUGCAUAGAUAUCGUGAGGAACACUAGUGGCGAAGGCGAGACUCUGGACAGUAUCUGACGCUGAGGCACGAAGGCCAGGGGAGCGAACGGG
rnacentral:rRNA from 1 species